AAAUGAAAACGUUAUAAUUUUUGUAAUAAAAUUGAGAAUGGAAAUGGGGUAGGUUUACUCGAUUUACAUGUCUCAAAUCUAAUAAUUUUUUGUUAGCACAAUAAAGUAAUGAGUAUUAUACAAUGUGUUUUUUACUGAAGAACAGCAUAUUGCUCUGACUUUUUAAGGUCUCUAUAAUGCUGAAAUGUAUGCACACAUUGCUCUGACUGCUGGUGUCCUAGCAACCAUCUUGAUAAUAACAGGAACAUUCACUCCUUUUUGGACAGUAAUAUCUGAUUCGGCUUGGUCACAAUCUUUUGACUCAUCAUGGACAAAUAUUUCUAUGACCUCAAUAGGACUAGGACUUUGGUUCCAACAAAUGUGCACCACUGAUGGCUGUGGUACGUCAUUUUAUCCAUCAUACAUGUACAACGUAAAUGUCAUGGACAUGACUGGGUUAACAGAGUUCCGAAUGUAUACCAGUUGCGGAAUCCUUUUGAGCAUUUCUGCAUGCAUCCUGUGUUUUCUUCAUAUCAAGGAAAAGAGUCCCAAACUGACAGGAUUUGCAGCUUCGUUAAUGUUCCUUUUUUCAGGCAUAAUGAUAUGGUUACCAGCUGGAAAGAUGAUACACAGAUAUGUUCGGUUCGAUACCAAUCUUGACGAGGUUGGUAUACCGGCUAAUCCUCUUCAGUUCCCGUACUCCGCCAUUAUAUGUGGCGUUGGUGGCAUUAUGAACGUAUUCUGUAUAUUCCUCAUUGCAAGCAGUGUUAAAAAGAUGUGGAACUACACGUCAGAAUUUAGACAUAAGAGAUUGGAGCUAAAUACAUUUAUUUAAUUGCAGACAGUUUAAUUGCAUUCCAAAGUACAGAUCCCAAGCAAGAAUAAAUUAAUGGCAUACAGAAAACUUCUCGAUUUUGUAAUAGAGCGUGUUAAAAAUUAUUUACUGAUACAGCUGUAAAUUAUUUUAUAAGUAAAAACAACAAUUUUUAA